UUAAAAUUCUUAAUAAUUUGUAAAACCCUGCUGUGAUUAAAACUCUCAAUCGGAGAAGACUAUUCCAAUUCACUCUUCUCGAUGUAUAGAUGAUCUGAAGCCAUCCCACAACGCCUCCUGUUCAUUCCGAAAUCACACACCAAUAUAUAUAAAAGCACAAACUGCAUAUAUAUAUAUAUCUGCUACGUGAUCGGAAGGAAGACUACAGAUGUUUAAUCUGAUAGAUUUUACAUCAGGCAUGGAAUUGAAGCUCUUGUUUUCACCGAUUCGACGUCUAUUUCGUGAUUCAGAUGAUCAAUUGCUUCUCUUUCAACCCCUUGGCCUCUACCCUAGUUCGAUGCACUAGAGAUUGGGAAGUAGCUAAUGCGUGACGAGGCAAGGAACUUUAUUGACACAGCUCUCACAAGAAAUACAAGUACACUAAUUUUGUUUAUGAUUCAUCAAGGUCUUUAUUGCUUCACAAGGACAAGCUGUCUUCCACCCACAACAAACAUGGGACAUGGGCACAGCAACCCAACCACUAAGAGGACUUGAUCAAAAGGUCUCACUUAAUUGAAGGAUUUCAGUUGUACUUGUUCUUCUUCUGUAUUUCAACAAUAAUGCAAGAAUAUGUAAGACUAGUGCUUCUAUAUCCUAGUGUUGAUUCUUUUAUAUAUAUUUUUCAUCUUGUUAGAAACACAUUACAUAUCUUGGUGUACUAAAUGAGCAUUGUUUUAUUA